rnacentral:rRNA from 1 species
UACGUAGGUGGCAAGCGUUAUCCGGAUUUACUGGGUGUAAAGGGAGCGUAGGCGGGACGGCAAGUCAGAUGUGAAAACUGAGGGCUCAACUUUCAGACUGCAUUUGAAACUGCUGUUCUUGAGUGAAGUAGAGGUAAGCGGAAUUCCUAGUGUAGCGGUGAAAUGCGUAGAUAUCACGCAGAACUCCGAUUGCGAAGGCAGCAUACCGGCGCCCAACUGACGCUGAAGCACGAAAGCGUGGGUAUCGAACAGG